rnacentral:rRNA from 1 species
UUUGCCUACGGGGGGCAGCAGUGGGGAAUAUUGCACAAUGGGGGAAACCCUGAUGGAGCAACGCCGCGUGAGUGAAGAAGGGUUUCGGUAUGUAAAGUUCUCUCAGCAGGGAAGAAAAUGACAGUACCUGACCAAGAAGCCCCGGCUAACUACGUGCCAGCAGCCGCGGUAAUACGUAGGGGGCGAGCGUUAUCCGGAUUCACUGGGCGUGAAGGGAGCGCAGGCGGCACGGCAAGUCCGGUGUGAAAGCCCGGGGCCCAACCCCGGGACUGCACUGGAAACUGCCGGGCUGGAGUGUCGGAGGG